UACGGAGGACGCGAGCGUUAUCCGGAUUUAUUGGGUUUAAAGGGUGCGUAGGCGGAGUGUCAAGUCAGCGGUAAAAUUUCGGGGCUCAACCCCGUCGUGCCGUUGAAACUGACGCCCUUGAGUGAGUGAGAAGUAAGCGGAAUGCGUGGUGUAGCGGUGAAAUGCAUAGAUAUCACGCAGAACGCCGAUUGCGAAGGCAGCCUACCGGCGCUCAACUGACGCUGAGGCACGAAAGUGCGGGUAUCGAACAGG
rnacentral:rRNA from 1 species